AACAAAUUAUGUGUACAAUGUUAACAUCCAUUAAAUUUAAUGGCCACAGGUAUUCCAAUUCAAAGGUUACCAAGAUCUGAAAUGUAACGGCACCCACUUCAGAAGGAUCAUCAUCACCUAAUAAACGCUCACCAAUAGAAAUAGUCCAAUUUGGCUAUCUCUAGUGGUUGCCGCGAAAAUUGCUUUUUUGGAUCUUCUCUACAAGGCUGAAAAAGCCAAGGUAGUGGGGGGUUGUUGCAAUGGAUUUUGGUAAAAAUGGUGGAGGAGUACUAUUGUGACGAAUGGGGAG
rnacentral:lncRNA from 1 species